rnacentral:rRNA from 1 species
UACGUAGGUGGCGAGCGUUGUCCGGAUUUACUGGGCGUAAAGGAUGCGUAGGCGGAUAUUUAAGUGAGAUGUGAAAUACCCGAGCUUAACUUGGGUGCUGCAUUUCAAACUGGAUAUCUAGAGUGUGGGAGAGGAGAAUGGAAUUCCUAGUGUAGCGGUGAAAUGCGUAGAGAUUAGGAAGAACACCAGUGGCGAAGGCGAUUCUCUGGACCAUAACUGACGCUGAGGCAUGAAAAGCGUGGGUACGCAAACAGG